CCUCUUUCUCUCUCUCUCUCUUUCCCAGCCAGCAUCAAACACCCAUCAAUGAACAUGUCUGCUCAUCUCUUUCCUUCUCUUUUAUAUGCUUAUGGUGAGAGCAAAAGGACAAGAGAUCCAGUCUGUUUUGUCUUGGUUUCUCUUCCUCAUAACCAUAAUCAUUCUUUCUUCCGUUAAUAUCCCACUUUCUUUCUCUUUAAACCAGCUUUUUAAGUACAGUUUUUGAAGCAGCAGACAACAAAUCAUUCCAAACUCACUGUUUGAUAUUCUUCUUGUCUAUUUCUAAGUGUGUGAUUUCUAUAAAGAGAGAUAUGGACAAAUGGGAGAAACCAGUAAGAGAAGAUCGCUUUCGACGCAACCAUAGGGAACCUUCUUUCUCUUCCACUCUUCUUGAUGCAAUUUACCGUUCCAUAGAUGAAUCCAAAGAUAAAGGAGAGGAAGAGCUGAUUUUCUACAGAGAAACUAUGAGGAAGAAGCAUGGAAAUGGUUUCAAAGAAGUUGGUAAAGAAGAAAGGAUUGCAACUCUGCAAAAAGCAUGCAUGAUAGACAAAUGGAUGGAGGAAAAAGUAAGCUAUGAAAAGGUUGCAGUUCGGAGAAAAUCCAUGGCAGAUUUUGACAAAAAUACUCGAAAAGAUUUCAAUCCUAAACCACCUCCUGUUUUACUCAACUCCAGCUCUAGUUCCUCAGAAUCUAGCUGUGGUGGUGGGUUUUCUUCCUCAGAAUCUGAAUCUACUUAUGGUCUCACCUCAUCAAGAUCAUCAUCAACUUACGCCAUGCAAAGGCCUAAGCCUAUUCGAACCAGCGUUUCUGCGCGGCCGGAGAGAUACGAAAGACCUGCAGAUGAAUUAAUUGCUAUGUAUCAUCAUGAGAGAAAUUAUUCAAAUUAUGCGCCAACACAAAAGCCAAAACACGAAGGCAGCUUUGUGAAGACGAAAUCCAGAGCCUUAAAAAUUUAUGGUGAUCUCAAGAAGGUAAAGCAGCCUAUUUCACCUGGAGGUCGGCUUGCAAGCUUUCUCAACUCUCUUUUCACUUCGGGAAAUGCUAAGAAAGCCAAGAUUUCAUCUUCGUCGUCGGGGUAUGAGGAAAGAAAGAUAAAGUCUGAGCAGACAUCGACAUGCUCUUCAGCUUCUUCAUUUUCAAGGUCUUGCUUAAGCAAGACCCCUUCCUCUAGAGUGAAUAAAUUGAGCAAUGGAACAAAAAGGUCAGUAAGGUUUUACCCAGUUAGUGUGAUUGUGGAUGAGGAUUCUAGACCUUGUGGACAGAAAAUUCUCUAUGGAAAUCAUGAAGAGACUCUAGUGGCAGUCACUGCUACUAGAAAUCUCACAAAUGAAGAGCUCAAGUUCCAUGUCAUGAACGAAAGUCGCAGAGUUGAGGAAGCUGCAACGGAUCUCUUAAAGAAUUAUCAGAAGAAGAAGCAAGAGGAGUUUUCUGCGGGAGAUCAUCUUUGCAAUGGCAAUGGAGAAUCUAGUGAUGAUGAAGAAGAUGCAGCAAGUUGUGCAAGUUCUGAUUUGUUUGAAUUGGAUAAUCUUUCUGCUAUUGGGAUUGAAAGGUAUCGUGAAGAAUUGCCUGUGUAUGAAACAACCCAUCUUGAUAAAAAUCGAGCCAUUGCAAAUGGCUUAAUUCUGUAAUUCCCAGAAAAAAAAAAAAAAUAAUUAUCUUUAUUAAUGAAUUGUGCGGGGGUUUACAUCAGAGAA
rnacentral:misc_RNA from 1 species